rnacentral:rRNA from 1 species
UACGUAGGGUGCAAGCGUUAAUCGGAAUUACUGGGCGUAAAGCGUGCGCAGGCGGUUUUGUAAGUCUGUCGUGAAAGCCCCGGGCUCAACCUGGGAAUUGCGAUGGAGACUGCAAGACUUGAAUCUGGCAGAGGGGGGUAGAAUUCCACGUGUAGCAGUGAAAUGCGUAGAGAUGUGGAGGAACACCGAUGGCGAAGGCAGCCCCCUGGGUCAAGAUUGACGCUCAUGCACGAAAGCGUGGGGAGCAAACAGG